UCUUCAAGCUGACCAUUUAAGUUAUUUAUUGACUAAAAACUUUUAAGUAUAUUGUAAAUAUUUAUCUUUUUUAUUUCUUUCCUUGUUUACAAUAAAAUAGAUGACUCGAGUGUUACAAACAAUAGUUUUUAAGGAAUAAUGUGAAAUAAGUUAAUUUUUAUAGGGUAAAUAACUUAAUCAACAUGAUAACUUAAUAACAUUAGUCCUACCAUACACUAACUUAGAUGAUCCUGCAGCAAAGGCUGUAAUUUGACCUGAACCCAAAUUGGUCUCUAUUUUAAAUAUUGUCUUGAACCAAUAAGUUAAGAGGACUAACCUUUCUGGACGACAUUGCCAUCGACAUCACUGCAGAUGAGAGAGAAAGAGAGACCAGAGUUGUGGACCCUGGAGGCAAUUACCAUACUGCCGAUAAUGUUACUUGGUCUAACCAUAACUUAAGUGAGAACUGAAGCCUACCAGUAAAAUGGGGGCGUUGUAAUUAAUAUCCUCCGACAUUGGAGAAUACAGGGGAGAGGUGUCAGAGGAAGAGGAGAUGGAGGAUGGGGCGAAGUAAAGACUAAGAUUGAAGAGAACUAACUAAUGGUAAGUUUUGCCAUUUACUUAUAAAUCCAGGGCCGUGUCCAUUGCCCCCAAGCCUAUGUCGCAUAACCCUCCUGAAUUACUAGUAUUUAACCAGCAUUUUAACUCGAGAGGCGCUCAAAAAUUUGCUUUUGUUUUUUAGGAAAUGUAGGCUAUAUUUUUUGACACCAUAAUUAUAAUUGUUCUGAAUAUGUCAUAGUUUUUACAUUUGGUAAGUACUGAAACAACAAUAAUUUUAAGACAAAUGGAAAAGCCCCUGUCAACAGAAGCAGUUGAAACAAGUAUAAAAAUUCUCAUACAUCAAUAAGGUAUUUAGUACAAGCGUGGUUCAAUAAGACCUUAGAAGAAUAUAGUAUAACACAAUUUUUGUGAUAAAUUUGAUUUAUUUUGCUAUAAUCUCCUUUUAUUUAGCUCUAUACACUUAUCUUAAAGUUUCUCCAACCUCGUUCAAAUUAUGUCCAAAUAAAUAGUACCCUACAAACUUGAAAAGCCUUCAAAAUACUCUUCUGUUUCAGUGAUGACCAGCUCCAUGGCAACUAAAAAUGUCUGCACGUAGGCCUUGAAGCGCCCCUAUCCCCACCACCUUCCGCCAGUCACUCGCCCGACAGGGCAGCAAAGAAAACUGUCAGAUAAUUUUGCCACACU